UGAAACAAAUAAAUAUACUUGUUUCUUAGUUAUAGUUAAUUUGCAUGUAGAAUUUUCCUCACUUGGCAAAGAAUGGUAUUUAAAAUGGUUAGAUAUUUUUCUUACACCAAGGAAAGGAUGAUCAUGUUAAGCAAUGUCAUACCGAUAGGGUAUGUCCAUUACGUCACACAAUACAUAGUGAGGAUUCUCCCACUUGAUAGGGAAUGAUAGUUGAAUUAAAAGUUUGAAAAUAUUUUAAGUGAAUAUUCAACUAUUUCUCUAUCACAUGAAGAUCGUGUUGAGUAACGUCACACCGAUAGGGUUAUGUCCGCCACUUAACAAAAUCUAGGGAUAGAUGGCAAUCCAAUUUUAUUUAUUUAUUUAUUUUUUAAAUAAAGUUUAAAUAAUUCAUUGAUUAAAAUUAGGAUAAUAUUGGAUUGCAAAAUUAAGAUAGUAGCUACAUGCGCUAUAAUAUAUUUAGUAAAAUUUCN
rnacentral:lncRNA from 1 species